rnacentral:rRNA from 1 species
AACGAACGCUGGCGGCAGGCUUAACACAUGCAAGUCGAGCGCCCCGCAAGGGGAGCGGCAGACGGGUGAGUAACGCGUGGGAAUCUACCCAUCUCUACGGAAUAACGCAUGGAAACGUGUGCUAAUACCGUACACGUCCUUCGGGAGAAAGAUUUAUCGGGGGUGGAUGAGCCCGCGUUGGAUUAGCUAGUUGGGGGGGUAAAGGCCUAACAAGGCGACGAACCAUAGGUGGUCUGAGAGGAUGAUCAGCCACACUGGGACGGAGACACGGACCAGACUCGUAAGGGAGGGAGCAGUGGGGAAUAUUGGACAAUGGGCGCAAGCCUGAUCGAGCAAUGCCGCGUGAGUGAUGAAGGCCCUAGGGUUGUAAAGCUCUUUCACCGGUGAAGAUAAUGACGGUAACCGGAGAAGAAGCCCCGGCUAACUUCGUGCCAGCCGCCGCCGUAACAC